AUUGAACGCUGGCGGCAGGCCUAACACAUGCAAGUCGAGCGAGCGGCGGACGGGUGAGUAAUGUAUGGGAAACUGCCUGAUGGAGGGGGAUAACUACUGGAAACGGUAGCUAAUACCGCAUACCAUCAGAUGUGCCCAGUUGGGAUUAGCUAGUAGGUGGGGUAACGGCUCACCUAGGCGACGAUCCCUGGCUGGUCUGAGAGGGUGACCCGCCACACGGGAACGGAGACACGGUCCAGACUCCGACGGGAGGAAGCAGUGGGGAAUAUUGCACAAGGGGCGCAAGCCUGAGGCAGCCAUGCCGCGUGUAUGAAGAAGGCCUUCGGGUUGUAAAGUACUUUCAGCGGGGAGGCGUUACCCGCAGAAGAAGCACCGGCUAACUCCGUGCCAGCAGCCGCGGUAAUUC
rnacentral:rRNA from 1 species